rnacentral:sRNA from 1 species
CCGGGGAUUUACAUCCCCGGCUACACAAUACCGUCCCUCCGGGACU